rnacentral:rRNA from 1 species
GUACGACUCUCGGCAACGGAUAUCUCGGCCCCGGCAACGAUGAAGAACGUAGCGAAGUGCGAUACUUGGUGUGAAUUGCAGAAUCCCGUGAAUCAUCAAAUCUUUGAACGCAAGUUGCGCCCGAGGCCCCGGCCCAGGGCACGGCUGCCUGGGCGUCGCAU